rnacentral:lncRNA from 1 species
CUCAGUGCUAGGAACUUGAUGCCUAUGAAAGCUAAAGAUGGGAGGAUGACUGAUCCCUACUGUGUGGCUAAAUAUGGGAACAAAUGGGUGAGAACGAGGACUCUUUUAGACGCGCUUGCACCUAAGUGGAACGAGCAAUAUACCUGGGAAGUUCAUGAUCCUUGCACGGUUAUAACAAUUGGAGUCUUUGACAAUGGUCAGACCAACGAUGGUGGUGACUCCAAGGACCAGAGGAUUGGGAAAGUUAGAGUGAGGCUAUCUACGCUGGAGACAGACCGGGUUUACACUCAUUACUACCCGUUGCUGGUUCUUACGCCCGGUGGUCUAAAGAAGAACGGUGAGCUUCAGCUAGCUCUGAGGUACACUUGCAUCUCCUUUGUUAACAUGAUGGCUCAAUACGGAAGACCGUUGUUGCCCAAAAUGCAUUAUAAAACCAAAUGAUUCAUAUGCUGGAGUAAUAAUCAAGAAUAUUCAACACUUUUUCAUUUGAAUAUUCAAAACAAAUGAUUUCGUUGCUAUCUAUUUCUACAAAUGAUUUUGAUAUAUAAAAAAGUAGUAAUAAUACAAUAAAAUAGUUAAAUUUGGGAGGAAUCGAAAAAUGAAUAAAUGACGUCUUCCUCUUGACUUCUGUCUGAAUGCCCCGAGUUUUACUACUCCUCUUUAACACAUCAUCGCUUGUUUUUUUAACAAAAAUAAAAAAUAAAAAUCAAAGAUGAUAAGUUGUUUCAUCUCUCCUCUUCUCUCCUCAUAACUCUUGUUUCAAUUCAAAUCAGUUGUACCACCGAGUCUUUCUUUGCCGGACGUUUUGCCUCUAAACACCGACUUCAAGAAACUCCAAAAAAAUAAUUCCGAUAUGAGCAAACUAGUCGUUGAAAUCGUGGACGCGAGCGACUUGAUGCCCAAAGACGGGCAAGGGUCAGCGAGUCCAUUCGUGGAGGUUGAAUUCGACGACCAGCGGCAGAGAACGCAAACGCGGUUCAAAGAUCUAAACCCUCAGUGGAACGAGAAGCUAGUUUUCAACGUCGGUGACUUGAGGCGUUUGACCAACAAGACCAUCGACGUCACCGUCUACGACGACCGCCGUGAUAACCAGCCGGGAAAGUUCCUUGGCCGCGUAAAAAUCUCCGGCGCGGUUGUUCCGUUAUCGGAAUCUGAAGGCGAUGUGCAGAGGUAUCCACUAGACAAACGAGGUUUGUUCUCUCACAUCAAAGGCGAUAUCGCUCUUAGAAUCUACGCCGCUCCUGUCGACGGCUCAGAUUUCAUUCCUCCGCCGGCAGAGAAGGAGAGCAAGGAGGAGCCUCAGGAGGAGUUUCAUAAUCAAAACCAAAACCAAAACUCAUUCGAAGAGGUUUACGUGGAGACGAUGAAGCCGAAGAAGAAAGAGAAAGAAACAAGAACUUUCCACUCGAUCGGAGCUGAGCAAUCGUUUGAAGCAAAGCCGCCUUCGCACCUUCCUCCUAACCAACCGGAGUUUAGGUCAGAUUUCAUGAGAGCUCCGGGACCACCGCCCGGCGCCGUGAUGCAGAUGCCACUACCACCGAGACAGAAUCCUGAGUUUCAGCUCAUCGAAACCAGUCCUCCGUUAGCAGCUCGGAGGCGACAGUCGUACUAUUACCGGAGCAGCGGAGACAAAACCUCGAGCACCUACGACCUCGUGGAGCAGAUGCAUUACCUCUACGUCAGCGUGGUCAAGGCUCGAGAUCUCCCCGUGAUGGACGUCUCCGGUAGCUUAGAUCCUUACGUGGAAGUGAAGCUUGGCAACUACAAAGGCUUGACGAAGCAUUUGGGGAAGAAUCAGAACCCGAUCUGGAAACAGAUCUUCGCCUUCUCUAAAGAGAGGCUGCAGUCGAAUCAGCUUGAAGUCACUGUUAAAGACAAAGAUCUCAUCACCAAAGAUGAUUUCGUGGGAAGAGUAUUGAUCGAUCUCACUGAAGUUCCUCUCAGGGUGCCUCCGGAUAGUCCUCUCGCUCCACAGUGGUACAGGCUCGAGGACAAGAAAGGGAUGAAGACCAACAGAGGAGAGGUCAUGCUUGCUGUUUGGAUGGGAACUCAAGCUGACGAGUCGUUCCCUGACGCUUGGCACUCUGACGCUCACCGCGUUAGCCACUCGAACCUCUCCAACACUCGCUCCAAAGUUUACUUCUCGCCGAAGCUGUAUUACCUCAGGAUUUAUGUGAUGGAAGCUCAAGAUCUUGUUCCCUCUGAUAAAGGGAGAGUACCUGAUGCUUUCGUUAAGAUUCACGCGGGGAAUCAGACGAGAGCGACGAGGACGCCUCAGAUGCGGACAAUGAGCCCUCAGUGGGGCGAGGAGCUUAUGUUUGUUGUGUCUGAGCCGUUUGAGGAUAUGGUGAUUGUGUCGGUUGAUGAUAGGAUUGGUCCGGGGAAAGAUGAGAUACUGGGGAGGUUGUUUAUACCUGUGAGGGAUGUUCCGGUGAGGCAAGAGACUGGGAAGAUGCCUGAUCCACGGUGGUUUAAUCUUCAGAGACAUUCAAUGUCUAUGGAGGAAGAGACUGAGAAGAAGAAAGAGAAGUUCUCUAGUAAGAUUCUGCUUAGGCUUUGUAUUGAAGCUGGGUACCAUGUUCUUGAUGAGUCCACGCAUUUCAGCAGCGAUCUUCAACCGUCUUCAAAGCAUUUGAGGAAGCCGAGCAUUGGGCUUCUUGAGCUUGGGAUUCUCAGUGCUAGGAACUUGAUGCCUAUGAAAGCUAAAGAUGGGAGGAUGACUGAUCCCUACUGUGUGGCUAAAUAUGGGAACAAAUGGGUGAGAACGAGGACUCUUUUAGACGCGCUUGCACCUAAGUGGAACGAGCAAUAUACCUGGGAAGUUCAUGAUCCUUGCACGGUUAUAACAAUUGGAGUCUUUGACAAUGGUCAGACCAACGAUGGUGGUGACUCCAAGGACCAGAGGAUUGGGAAAGUUAGAGUGAGGCUAUCUACGCUGG